rnacentral:rRNA from 1 species
AUUGAACGCUGGCGGCAGGCCUAACACAUGCAAGUCGAACGGUAACAGGAAGAAGCUUGCUUCUUUGCUGACGAGUGGCGGACGGGUGAGUCAUGUCUGGGAAACUGCUUGAUGGAGGGGGAUAACUACUGGAAACGGUAGCUAAUACCGCAUAACGUCGCAAGACCAAAGAGGGGGACCUUCGGGCCUCUUGCCAUCGGAUGUUCCCAGAUGGGAUUAGCUAGUAGGUGGGGUAACGGCUCACCUAGGCGACGAUCCCUAGCUGGUCUGAGAGGAUGACCGGCCACACUGGAACUGAGACACGGUCCAGACUCCUACGGGAGGCAGCAGUAGGGAAUAUUGCGCAAUGGGCGCAAGCCUGAUGCAGCCAUGCCGCGUGUAUGAAGAAGGCCUUCGGGUUGUAAAGUACUUUCAGCGGGGAGGAAGGGAGUAAAGUUAAUACCUGUGCUCAUUGACGUUACCCGCAGAAGAAGCACCGGCUAACUCCGUG